rnacentral:ncRNA from 1 species
CUACAUGGUCGGCAAAGCAAGGGAAACCUUGUGACGCAAAGCUCGAGAGCCUGUAAGAUGGCAGUCAGUUGCAUAA